rnacentral:lncRNA from 1 species
AGAAAACAUCAAGUAUCAGUUAGAUAAAACAUCCAUCUGGCUUUUUGAUGCUUGUACUAAUUUUUUUUCAGUGACCUUGUAGUCAUUAUUUAUAGUUUCCUUUGAAGAUCAGAGAACCUUAGGUUGCUUAUUGCUCUAAUCUUUAGAAAAGAUCUGUGACAGAUUUUUCUGAUCCCAAAGAAUACAUCAAAUCAUAUGAAACUGCUCAGUUAUCAGCCAUGAAAACAGAGGUCAUUUCUACUAAAGAAUAGAUUACUCCAGCUUCAUCAUGAAAAGAAUAUUCUCCUUGGAAAUACCCAGAAACCCUCGGAAAAGAAUGCUUUUCAAAAUCUUCUUCUUCAGAAAGACGUGCUGUCAAGGACCGUUAAAUAGAAGAGGCAUUUAUAGAAUCAUAAGACUGUCAGAGCUGAAAGGGUCGUUUCCAAUCUCCUAA